AUCUAUCAAAUGCAGGUAUGCUUAUGCGAAGUCUGACAUAAACAAAGUUCCCCCAUGUGACCUACUUUUUGGAUGUCUAAUUGGCUGAAUGUGUUUUUUUUCUCAUGCCUCCAUUGAAUGAAAGUGACUUUGCAAACAAAAAGGGCUCAUGUCUUCACUUUAAACACAGUAAGUAAUUUCCUUGCAGAAAUAAAUUGCACCAUAGCACUAUUUCGGGGCAGCGUCAUGUUUUGUGACUGCAAUGCCUUUUUUUUCCAGGCGGCGAUGGGCGUUUCUGGCCGGAGAUGGCGCUGUUGAGCAUAUAUUUUGUUUCAGUCCCGUUUCCCUCCAUGGUUUCCCCUCUCUCCGACUAACUUAGCGUUUGGCUCAGUUCAUUAUACAGUCCUAAUAUUCUCCUCCAUUAGGGCAUCUCUGCCUUUGGACUGAAGAUCCCACCAAACCCAAGAGAGAAAAGUUUAACUUUCACAGGGCACGAUGGACAUGAAAAGAGGAUCACUUGGAGCUAAGAAACAGGACACCGUCUGAUGUACGAGAACUCGUCCUGGACAAUUGUCGAUCGGUUUGAAGGAAAAAUCGAAGCCUCACAGCUGAAUUUGUCAACCUGGAGUUCCUCAGUUUGAUAAAUGUUGGCUUAAUCUCAGUCUCCAACCUUCCCAAACUAGGAAA